rnacentral:rRNA from 1 species
UAUGUAGGGUGCAAGCGUUAAUCGGAAUUACUGGGCGUAAAGCGUGCGCAGGCGGUUUUGUAAGUCUGUCGUGAAAGCCCCGGGCUCAACCUGGGAAUUGCGAUGGAGACUGCAAGGCUUGAAUCUGGCAGAGGGGGGUAGAAUUCCACGUGUAGCAGUGAAAUGCGUAGAGAUGUGGAGGAACACCGAUGGCGAAGGCAGCCCCCUGGGUCAAGAUUGACGCUCAUGCACGAAAGCGUGGGGAGCAAACAGG